ACUCCAACGAUCAUUCACUGUGCAUUCAAAUACUUAUAAUAUUUCUUUGUAGUGAAUAAGUAUGAAUAAGCAGUGUGGUCCACAGUUACCCAAAUAAACAAACAUUUUAACUAAAUAAUUUUGUUUCAUGCUUUUGUGUACUCAAGAAAUUUUAAGCUGUUUUUAAUCGUUUAUAAGAAAUAUGAAAAAUGAUAAUUUCUAUGGUUAAGACAGCAAAAUUUCCCAAUUCAUAUAAGUAAGCUACGUAAGGUGCCCAUUCUGGCUUUUGGGUGGGUCAAAAGCCAAUACCACUUCUCUUCUUUUAUCACUUCCUAACUUCAAACAGAUCAAAGAUCAGCCUGCAGGAAAUGAAAAGAGAGAAACAGAAAUAAAAUAAUUUAAGACAUGCUAUGCAGUAAAUGGGAAAAAAAUGAAAAGUCUGAAUCUAGUCAGUGUUUCACUGUGUUAAUUGCUUUGCUUCCCCAUCAAGAGGUUCUGAUGUCUUGUACUAUACAAUGGUGAAGCUUACCCUUGAACCUGGACAAACAUUGAAAAAAUCUGGAUUAGAAGGUGUUAAAGAUAAUUAACCUCUAAUUGAAUGUUCUCAGUUAUGUAAUGCAAGCCCUGAAAGAGCUUUCAAAGGAGGAAAUACUAUGAAAACUGCCAGAAUAUUUCUCUGAAAAAAUACCAGCAAAAUUUCCUUCCUGGGGCUCCCUGGAACACGAUUUCAAUGGAAGACACACCAGGUCUGAGGGCAUUCAGGAUUCAGUUCACAGCUAUUUAUUUAUCAUUUAAAUGCAUUCAACUGAAAGAGAACAUUUUCCUGCUGAAUAUAGGAACCGUCAAAGAUAAAUAUGGGCUGAUGUUUUUCGUGCCUGCUAACAUUGGGUCUAGAUUUAUCUACCUUGAAAGACAUGCCAUUUGUCAAAGGCUUGUUUAGCAUGAAAAAUCCUCUAUGGCCAGUAUUAGUUAUGUUCAGUCAUUCUUGCUUCAUGUGUGCUGGACACUGGGGAAAGCAAGGGAGAGAAUCUUCAUAAACCAAAGCACACUAGCCUUUUAUUUGAAUGACAGCUAUAAUAACUACUCACACAAAUAUAAUUUUUAAAGACAUUUAUAUAUUAAUUUGGAUUGAAUGUCUUCGCUGUGCUUGAGACAUCCUAAGUGUGUAUAUAGGGGGUAUAUGUAUGUGUGUGUGCACAUGUGUGUACGUGUUCCGAUGGAGAAAAAGCACUGGAAUAUCUCUCUCAUUAUUUAAAUUGCUUGUGAACUUUCAUUCCUUUCACUAAACUGUUCCAAUUUAUGAGACCAUUUCCCACUGCCCUGACAAAUCUGAGUUUGCAUUGUUAGCCUUUUCCUUGAUAUCCACUGAAUUUUUGUUCUUGCUUUGUUUCUCAAACAUGCACAAAAAUGCAAUUAUUAUUUAUUCAUUUUAUUACUGCAUACUUGUGUAUUUGCUUAUUUAUUAAAUUGUUUAUUUAUUUAAGGCACGCACUUGAUAAAAAGCAUUUAAACUGGUAACAAAGGAUGCACUAGAGUUUGCCUCCCAUCUCAAACCUAGUAUCAUUGAUGCUUCAGAGAAGAUAUUCUUGCAUAUAUUGAUGUACAUAUAUCUGUAUUUGUAUGUGCAUAUUUUCCAGAUAAAUUUCAAUAACUUGAAUUGUUAGAUUAAAAUGUUCGAAUGUUUUAGAUAUUGUCAAAUUACUCUCUAAAGACUUUGUAUUGUAUUUUAUUACCAUCUAGAGGAU
rnacentral:lncRNA from 10 species